rnacentral:lncRNA from 1 species
CCCUUAGCCUCUCUGUCAUUAAUUUUUCAUUUUUCAUUUUCAUCAUCUUCUUUUUUUUUGUUUUUUUGAAAUUGGUCCUUUCUUCUUCUUUAAACGAAGUAUUUCUUGACUAGAUCCGAGUUUAUAGGAUUAGCAAUCUCUCUCGGGAUCAGUGCUCCUCUAAAAAAGGUUUUCUUUACAACACAGGGGCAUCCCCGGCUUAGCAUUCAUUUCCUUCUAGAAUCCUUUUGUUGAGGAAGGAUCUUUUCCAUCAUCCAGCCCUCUCGUGGAAUUCUCUGAGAG